rnacentral:rRNA from 1 species
UACCGAAGCCCUUAGCCGGCGACUCUAAAGAAAUCAGCUAUAGUCGCCCCUCCGGGGGCUGGCGACGCCAUCAAUCUGUGUCUGGGAGUGCUCUCCAACAGGGGAGCAUUACCGGCAGCUCGCUGUAUCGAGUUCACAGGUCAAACGAUAGCGGCCACUUCGGUGGUUGAGAUAUGAUCGGCCUCCAGCUGUUACCUAGCUGGGGAGAUUUUGCGGAACCUGCGGAAGGAUCAUUA